rnacentral:rRNA from 1 species
AGCAGCUCACUGGGUGUAAAGCGUGCGCAGGCGGUUUUGUAAGACAGAGGUGAAAUCCCCGGGCUCAACCUGGGAACUGCCUUUGUGACUGCAAGGCUGGAGUGCGGCAGAGGGGGAUGGAAUCCCGCGUGUAGCAGUGAAAUGCGUAGAUAUGCGGAGGAACACCGAUGGCGAAGGCAAUCCCCUGGGCCUGCACUGACGCUCAUGCACGAAAGCGUGGGGAGCAAACA